GUGCCAGCCGCCGCGGUAAUACGAAGGGGGCUAGCGUUGUUCGGAAUUACUGGGCGUAAAGCGCACGUAGGCGGACUUUUAAGUCAGGUGUGAAAUCCCGGGGCUCAACCUCGGAACUGCAUUUGAAACUGGAAGUCUUGAGACCAGGAGAGGUUAGCGGAAUACCGAGUGUAGAGGUGAAAUUCGUAGAUAUUCGGUGGAACACCAGUGGCGAAGGCGGCUAACUGGACUGGUACUGACGCUGAGGUGCGAAAGUGUGGGGAGCAAACAGGAUUAGAAACCCCCGUAGUCC
rnacentral:rRNA from 1 species